GAUGAAGAACGUAGCGAAAUGCGAUACUUGGUGUGAAUUGCAGAAUCCCGUGAACCAUCGAGUCUUUGAACGCAAGUUGCGCCCGAAGCCACUAGGCCGAGGGCACGCCUGCCUGGGCGUCACACGCCGUUGCCCCCCCAUCUUCUCCUUCGGGAUUGCGGGGGGGCGGAUGAUGGCCUCCCGUGCGCCUAGCCGCGCGGUUGGCAUAAAUACCAAGUCCUCGGCGACGCACGCCACGACAAUCGGUGGUUGCGAAACCUCGGUUGCCCGUCGUGUGCGUUCGUCGCGCAUCGAGGGCUCGAAAAAAUGCUCGGCUCCGGCUGGGCUUUCAACGCGACCCCAGGUCAGGCGGGGUUACCCGCUGAAUUUAAGCAUAUCAAUACGCGGAGGA
rnacentral:misc_RNA from 1 species